UACGUAGGGGGCAAGCGUUGUCCGGACUUACUGGGCGUAAAGCGUGUGCAGGCGGGCCGCUAUGUGCCGUGUGAAAGCUCUCAGCUUAUCUGGGAGAGGUCGCGGUAGACAGGCAGCCUGGAGGCUCGGAGAGGUCAGUGGAAUUCUCGGUGUAGUGGUGAAAUGCGCAGAUAUCAGGAAGAACACCCGUGGCUAAGGCGGCUCUCUAGUACGGUACUGACGCUGAGACGCGAAAGCGUGGGGAGCAAACAGG
rnacentral:rRNA from 1 species